UGAGGUUAAAAAUGUGCCCCAUAUUAUUUAUAAGUAAGUAAUGCAACAACACAAUGGUCAAACUGAUAAAAGCCCCAAUUGGAAGCCAGUAUAAGGAUAUUUAUAAGGAUAUCCUUACAAGGACAUAAGGUUUCGGCCAUUACAUGAUCUUCAAACAAGAACUGGAGAAUACGGUAGACAAUAUCGUAAACCGUGAUAAAAAUGUUUUGAUAUAAAAUAUUACAAUCAACACAUGCAUACUAUCAUGUGCUAUGACAAAGCUUUCUGAUUUGAAAUCAGAGUUAAAUAAACCAAAUAAACAAACAAACAUGCUAUAAUCCGUCUAAAAGAAGCCAAAGUAAACUGCCAAUCUGCUAUGUUUGGUUUGGCUAGUGCACCAGAAAAUAUGUGCUUUUUAGUGACUUAAAAAGCCCCCCACCACCACCAAAGUCCACCUCCCUGGACUGAAAAGCCAGACUAAAUUCACACCCUUGUGAUAUUUCAAAGGCCCCCCUUUGGUGUGAGCUGGUGUGAGCAGCAUGAAAGACAGUGGAUGUCUAAGACAACGCGCAGCAUUAAUGAGAUCAGCAGAGGAGCCAAGAGUCAGCUAUUAGCACACGAUACUGCUGCAAUGCAUUUGAACAGUCAGAUCCAUUGAACCAGCCAAAGUCCUACUGCGUCAGUUUGCAAUAUCCACUCAAUCACUCCCAACAUCUACACGUUUUCUCUACUCAAUGAUAUGAGGAGCAAACAAAGACUUGGCUCGGUGAUAGGGCAUCACCAUGGAAACAGGCAAACAGAGUGCAUACUAAAAUGAAUGCUGGCUGCUGUGAGCUCCAGAGCCAGCAUGGGGGAGCAAAGCUCCAGUAGAGACCCAGACAGUGACUCUGAUGAGGACAAGGAGACAGAAAUGACCUUAAAGAAACUGCAUGUAACUUUGGGGGAUUUGGAGAGCUUUGUAGUGGAAAUAUGUUGCAGGAACAUUACACAUCACAACAGUGUUCUGUAAUCGCUUAUGCUGCACACAAUUCCUCAUACGCUAAUCUGAUGAUAAAGAGCAGCAACUUAAUAAGCAUUCAUAGAGCAUUCAAGUACUCCAAGGAGGUAACGAUCUCCUAUAGUUUUUGUAAAAGUCUGCUUAGUAUUGCAGAAAUGUAAUGAAAAUGAAAAGUGUAAUGAGAGUUGCAAUGGAAAAGAUCAAUUAAUAGGUAGUCAGCUGCGUUGGCAAACAAUAAUUAAUACGAAAUAAUUGCUAUCAAUUGAUUGACUUUCAGCAGACAUGAGCAUGCUCAGGAGCACAGCCAAAUGCAAUGUUAGGGAACUAGCUGGCUAGACAACAGCAGUCAAGAUAUGACAAGGCCGAGUGGCCUUCUUACAAGAGAAGCCUGCAUGGACGAGUAGGUUGCAUGGACGAGUAGGUCUGCAACAUGUGCAGAGAAUGAUAAUUCAUCAUUCAACACUACAAGGAACUUCUCAAAGGAGGCAAUAAGUCUAAGACGUGAGCAUGCAUUUUCAAAAUCAGCAGCCUGGGUAUCUGAAGCCCUGUUUAGAUUUAUUAACCUCCAAUAUUAACAUCCGUCUCAGGUAUAUGAGUGCGAACAGUACCAAAUGCAUCUUGUGAUCCAAUCACUCAGAGCACUUGUGGAGGUCUACUGGGAUGCAUUACAUUUACAGUGUGAACAGCAAUGUGUCCCUGACAACAUCAAAAGACCACCGAACCACCAGGGUUGCCAGGUUUGUGGUUUGUCUAGCCACUCUGCUGAUACAUAAAACAAGUUGAAUUUUUUUUGUCCACAACUUGGAUAUUUUGCUUCCAUUAUAUUUAUUUAAUCUUAAAUUUAGGCCUGUAUUCUGAAUGUGCAUACCGACCAUGCAAGUCUAAUUCCUCUACUCACUCUCAUGGCUAUUCUUUAUUUAUGACUAUAUUUUACCUCUGUCAAAUAACAACCCUACUCAACCCUUUCAUCCAUAAAUUAUUUAUAUGCAUAUCCAUAUUCUUCUAGAUUUUUUUUUCUUGCUUAAAACUGCAUAACUCUGUCUAAAUAUUAUUUAUGUUUAAAAAAGUAAAUGGAUUGUCCAUGAGUAAAAAAGGCAAAAACAGUAUGGCUGAAAUAAUAAUACUUUUUUAAAAAUUUUUUUAUUCUUUUUUAAAUCUUCAAAUGUACAACUUUCUUCUUUACAUUCUGGUUUAAAAUACGUAAUGUUCAAGACAAAAAUAUUAGAAAUGAUCCUUUCUGAACACUUCAAAAACUAGUUUAAAAUAAAGUUUAAAAAAAAAGGAUAUAAAAUGAAACAAAACAAAAAAAGCAAAUUCUAGUUGAUUCGUACAGUCUGGCACAGUAUAAAUGUUUCUUAAAAGCCUUAAAUUGACUGUCCAUUAGUUUGGACAGUAUGUGUGAAAGGGUUGAGAAAUUGGUGCGUUUGUGAUACUGCUUCAUUAAAAAUAUAAGCCAUUGAUGUUUUUCCCCGAUUUAGUCAUUUGCCAGUUCCCACCCACUAGCUAGCUCUCUCCUAUUGCACAACAGCUAGUACAUGAAGCCAGCCACUGCAUAUUUUUUUAACUCCUGCUCAUGUUAUGUCACAGAGCAGCUGAACACACUCAGAAGAACAUGCUAGCUGCCCUCUUCCACACACGAGCUUGCGGAUGCCCCUGAUUGAUUAGCGUUACUCUAAUUGACAGGAGAGAGAGAGUAAUGCCUCCCAAUCAGAGAGCACGGCCAGUUUUGCUCUUUUGGAAUUGUGGAUAGCUAUGGCAUCAGCAAAACACUGUUCUGUUGCACCAUACAGGAGCCCAUAAUGCUACUUUUAAAUAUUACAACUCGUUUUUCAAUGAUAACAUGACGUUGGGCUACAAAAACUGCGUAGGGUCAGAGAGAAAGAUAAACACCAGGUCUGAAUGGCUAUCCAUCAUGGCUGUCCACUUGUGAUCAAAUGAUGGAGACAUUUGUUAAUAUCAAGUGUGAACAGGGCCUGAGGUUGGGAAGGAAAGGACUGGUGCAGUAUCAUCAGCAUAACUGUAAGAGGAAAGGCACAAUACAUCCUUAAGGUACAGAUGAAGGAAAAACUAUAGGACCAAGGACUGAAACCUUGCAGAAAAUAAAGGUAGAGAUGGAGAGAGGCCAAAUAGUGCAAAUGUAAUGUGGUAUAGAUUAUGUGAUAUCCCCCAGUUUCUAAUUUCACAAGUUGUAGGCCCUACCUGGGGUUGAUUCCUGUAGACUACACUUUGAGUAGGGCUUAGAUUAAAGACAAAAUUAUAUACUGCUGUUUCAGUACAGAUAAAAACACAGCAAGAGCCAAGAGAAGUAAGGCCAACUUCAGUAUGGCAACUAAAAGUGGACAAAAUCUAAAUAGUUGCAUUUUCUCUACAAAUAUAAUAUUAAUGAACUAGAAAUGAAAGAUUAGGAGACAGGCAGUGCAGAAUGUUUAAUAUCAACUUUUUUUUUUUUAGGAACCUGCUCACUAGUGACACAAGUGGUCUGCUGGAGGCAAAUUUGUCACCUUCUCUCGGUGUGUGAAACGGAGAGUUAGCAGAGCACAGCGUGGCUGGAGUGGGAUUUCCAAUUAGCAGUCAAGACAGUGUGGUGAUAUAGCAUGCCUUGAGUAACACAAAUUUUAUUCCCUUACUGUUGAAAAAAACGAGUUAUAAAUACCAGAAUACUAAAAUGAAAAACACCUGCAUGUGAUUGUGUGUAAAAGAGCAAAAAAGUAAGAAAAAGGGGACAAAAAAAAAGACAGCUCCCAUAGAAAGUGAGGACUAUGUGAGUCAUUUUGAACACUAUAACUGUGCGACAGUGUGAAUGUGAACCUGAGGAAAUGUACCGUUUUAAGAAAACAAUGAGGUACUUUUGAAUUUAAUGGCUGCAACACGUCUCAAAAAGGUUGGGACGGGGGCAACAAAAGGCUGGAAAAGUUGGCUGUCGAUGGAGGGCUACAGGGUCAUCAAUGGGAGGCAUCUAAUGUGUCUGAAUGUUGAGGUUUAAGGGCCUUGCUCAAGGGCCCAACAGUGGCAGCUUGGUGGUGCUGGGGUUUGAACUCACGACCUUCUGAGCAGUAGACCAACGUCUUGUUUUGGGAUUUCGUAUGCUUCAACUCUUCACAAAUUUCCAAAUGUAAACAGACAAGAAGAUAGCUCCACUCCAGUGCAGAUAACGGCCUCCGUAAUCAAUGGUGUAUGAAAAACUCAAUUUAUUUCAAAGCUGUAGGACCAGAACCUGCAUUUAAUAUUUCCUUGUUGCAUCUGAUAACACCCAUGAAACUAGAAUUUUAGAUUUAGUGAAGCGUUGGACUCUUGACUCG